CGCAUAAGCGCACAGGGCCGCAUGGUCCGGUGUGAAAAACUCCGGUGGUGUAAGAUGGACCCGCGUCUGAUUAGGUAGUUGGUGGGGUAACGGCCCACCAAGCCGACGAUCAGUAGCCGACCUGAGAGGGUGACCGGCCACAUUGGGACUGAGACACGGCCCAAACUCCUACGGGAGGCAGCAGUGGGGAAUAUUGGACAAUGGGCGAAAGCCUGAUCCAGCGACGCCGCGUGAGUGAAGAAGUAUUUCGGUAUGUAAAGCUCUAUCAGCAGGGAAGAAAAUGACGGUACCUGACUAAGAAGCCCCGGCUAACUACGUGCCAGCAGCCGCGGUAAUACGUAGGGGACAAGCGUUAUCCGGAUUUACUGGGUGUAAAGGGAGCGUAGACGGUUUAGCAAGUCUGAAGUGAAAGCCCGGGGCUCAACCCCGGUACUGCUUUGGAAACUGUUAGACUUGAGUGCAGGAGAGGUAAGUGGAAUUCCUAGUGUAGC
rnacentral:rRNA from 1 species